rnacentral:rRNA from 1 species
GAUGAACGCUGGCGGCGUGCCUAAUACAUGCGAGUCGAGCGAACGGACGAGAAGCUUGCUUCUCUGAUGUUAGCGGCGGACGGGUGAGUAACACGUGGAUAACCUACCUAUAAGACUGGGAUAACUUCGGGAAACCGGAGCUAAUACCGGAUAAUAUUUUGAACCGCAUGGUUCAAAAGUGAAAGACGGUCUUGCUGUCACUUAUAGAUGGAUCCGCGCUGCAUUAGCUAGUUGGUAAGGUAACGGCUUACCAAGGCAACGAUGCAUAGCCGACCUGAGAGGGUGAUCGGCCACACUGGAACUGAGACACGGUCCAGACUCCUACGGGAGGCAGCAGUAGGGAAUCUUCCGCAAUGGGCGAAAGCCUGACGGAGCAACGCCGCGUGAGUGAUGAAGGUCUUCGGAUCGUAAAACUCUGUUAUUAGGGAAGAACAUAUGUGUAAGUAACUGUGCACAUCUUGACGGUACCUAAUCAGAAAGCCACGGCUAACUACGUGCCAGCAGCCGCGGUAAUACGUAGGUGGCAAGCGUUAUCCGGAAUUAUUGGGCGUAAAGCGCGCGUAGGCGGUUUUUUAAGUCUGAUGUGAAAGCCCACGGCUCAACCGUGGAGGGUCAUUGGAAACUGGAAAACUUGAGUGCAGAAGAGGAAAGUGGAAUUCCAUGUGUAGCGGUGAAAUGCGCAGAGAUAUGGAGGAACACCAGUGGCGAAGGCGACUUUCUGGUCUGUAACUGACGCUGAUGUGCGAAAGCGUGGGGAUCAAACAGGAUUAGAUACCCUGGUAGUCCACGCCGUAAACGAUGAGUGCUAAGUGUUAGGGGGUUUCCGCCCCUUAGUGCUGCAGCUAACGCAUUAAGCACUCCGCCUGGGGAGUACGACCGCAAGGUUGAAACUCAAAGGAAUUGACGGGGACCCGCACAAGCGGUGGAGCAUGUGGUUUAAUUCGAAGCAACGCGAAGAACCUUACCAAAUCUUGACAUCCUUUGACAACUCUAGAGAUAGAGCCUUCUCCUUCGGGGGACAAAGUGACAGGUGGUGCAUGGUUGUCGUCAGCUCGUGUCGUGAGAUGUUGGGUUAAGUCCCGCAACGAGCGCAACCCUUAAGCUUAGUUGCCAUCAUUAAGUUGGGCACUCUAAGUUGACUGCCGGUGACAAACCGGAGGAAGGUGGGGAUGACGUCAAAUCAUCAUGCCCCUUAUGAUUUGGGCUACACACGUGCUACAAUGGACAAUACAAAGGGCAGCGAAACCGCGAGGCCAAGCAAAUCCCAUAAAGUUGUUCUCAGUUCGGAUUGUAGUCUGCAACUCGACUACAUGAAGCUGGAAUCGCUAGUAAUCGUAGAUCAGCAUGCUACGGUGAAUACGUUCCCGGGUCU